rnacentral:rRNA from 1 species
AGUGAACGCUGGCGGUAGGCCUAACACAUGCAAGUCGAACGGCAGCACAGUAAGAGCUUGCUCUUACGGGUGGCGAGUGGCGGACGGGUGAGGAAUACAUCGGAAUCUACUUUUUCGUGGGGGAUAACGUAGGGAAACUUACGCUAAUACCGCAUACGACCUACGGGUGAAAGCAGGGGAUCUUCGGACCUUGCGCGAUUGAAUGAGCCGAUGUCGGAUUAGCUAGUUGGCGGGGUAAAGGCCCACCAAGGCGACGAUCCGUAGCUGGUCUGAGAGGAUGAUCAGCCACACUGGAACUGAGAGACGGUCCAGACUCCUACGGGAGGCAGCAGUGGGGAAUAUUAGACAAUGGACGCAAGCCUGAUCCAGCCAUACCGCGUGGGUGAAGAAGGCCUUCGGGUUGUAAAGCCCUUUUGUUGGGAAAGAAAAGCAGCAGGUUAAUACCCCGCUGUUCUGACGGUACCCAAAGAAUAAGCACCGGCUAACUACGUG